CCCUGAUGCAGCCAUGCCGCGUGUGUGAAGAAGGCCUUCGGGUUGUAAAGCACUUUCAGUAGGGGAGGAAGGUAGUGUAGUUAACACCUGCACUAUUUUGACGUUACCUACAGAAGAAGCACCGGCUAACUCCGUGCCAGCAGCCGCGGUAAUACGGAGGGUGCGAGCGUUAAUCGGAAUUACUGGGCGUAAAGCGCAUGCAGGCGGCCUGUUAAGUCAGAUGUGAAAGCCCGGGGCUUAACCUCGGAAUUGCAUUUGAAACUGGCAGGCUAGAGUCUUGUAGAGGGGGUAGAAUUUCAGGUGUAGCGGUGAAAUGCGUAGAGAUCUGAAGGAAUACCAGUGGCGAAGGCGGCCCCCUGGACAAAGACUGACGCUCAGAUGCGAAAGCGUGGGGAGCAAACAGGAUUAGAUACCCUGGUAG
rnacentral:rRNA from 1 species